CUGGCGGCACGCCUACACAUGCAAGUCGAACGCAGUAGCAAUACUGAGUGGCAGACGGGUGAGUAACAUGUGGGAAUCUGCCUUGUGGUUCAGGACAACAUUGGGAAACUGAUGCUAAUACUGAUAAGCCCUUACGGGGAAAGUUUUAAUGCCAUAAGAUGAGCCCGCAUUUGAUUAGUUAGUUGGUGAGGUAAUGGCUCACCAAGACAAUGAUCAAUAGCUGAUCUGAGAGGAUGAUCAGCCACACUGGGACUGAGACACGGCCCAGACUCCUACGGGAGGCAGCAGUGGGGAAUCUUGCACAAUGGAGGAAACUCUGAUGCAGCGAUGCCGCGUGAGUGAAGAAGGCCUUUGGGUUGUAAAGCUCUUUUGUAGGGGAAGAUAAUGACUGUACCCUAAGAAUAAGGUCCGGCUAACUUCGUGCCAGCAGCCGCGGUAAUACGAAGGGACCUAGCGUAGUUCGGAAUUACUGGGCGUAAAGCGCGCGUAGGCCGUUGAGUUAGUUAAUUGUGAAAUCCCAAAGCUUAACUUUGGAACUGCAAUUAAAACUGCUCGACUAGAGUUUGAUAGAGGAAAGCGGAAUACAUAGUGUAGAGGUGAAAUUCGUAGAUAUUAUGUAGAACACCAGUUGCGAAGGCGGCUUUCUGGAUCAACACUGACGCUGAGGCGCGAAAGUAUGGGUAGCAAAGAGGAUUAGAUACCCUCGUAGUCCAUACCAUAAACGAUGAUUGCUAGAUGUNGNAAUUUAUUUUCAGUAUCGCAGCUAACGCAUUAAGCAAUCCGCCUGGGGAGUACGAC
rnacentral:rRNA from 1 species